UUGACUCUAAAAUAUUGUUUUAUGAAUAAAAUAAUACAACUAAAAAAGGUAAAAAAAUCUAGAACGUUAGUUAAGACCAAAAAAUAAAAUUCUAGAACGUUAGGAUAUUGUAUAAGUUUCAAUGAACCUUCAAAGGGAAUUUGGAAAUAUAAAAGAAGAAGAAAAUCAGCAGCAUCGAAAUUUCCUUCAUAAAUAAUUUAAUCUACAAAAAAAAACAAAAAACUCAUUGACCCAAUUAACCUCUCAACAAUUACUCCAAAAGACGAAACUGAUUUCACAAAACCAAAACGCACGUACAGAUAAAUUAAACGCAAUCCAGAAAUCAAGGAUUAUCCUAUCCAAAGUGCAACGAAAAAAAUAAUUAUAUAAUCUUAUAAAAACCAAUAAAGUCAAAAAAGAAAAAGAAAUAAUCGUACCCGUCAAGCAAAAAAAAAGCGGAAGUUGAGAUUGUCGUGUGUUUCUUUCUUCUUACGUUGGAGAUUCUGAGCUUGAAGUGUUUCGUUCACCUUUUAGAGAGAGAGGCUUGUGUUGUGUUUGUGUGAGAGUAGCAAAAACCAAGGAAAUAGCACUUUAGACGCCAAGAGCGG
rnacentral:lncRNA from 1 species